rnacentral:lncRNA from 1 species
UGUUUGAUGAUGUUCGCCAUCGCCCACUCUAUGGUCGUGAUCGUCGUCUCCAUUCCGGUCGUGAAGAACUCGUGGGCCAAACUCACCGCCUCGUCAUCGGUUGGCUUUCUGCAUGCAUAACAUAAUCAAUAAUCGAUCAAUUUCAAAUUCAAAUAACAUCAAAUCGGUAAUUAAUUUCACCAGACCUGAUUGUGCCAUCUUCUACAGGUAUGUCUAGGGCGAGAACAGUAUCGAUGUAAGAAUUUUCCUUGAUGCCUUGUUCAUCACGCCGACGACGUAUUUUUUGGAUGAUCGGUAUAUAUAAUUCCUCUUGUCUCUUUCUCAUCGAAGUGAACGAACGCCAUCUUUUGAAAUAAAG